rnacentral:tRNA from 1 species
GGAGGAGUGGCCGAGCGGUUGAAGGCGGCGGUCUUGAAAACCGUUGGGUGAAAGCCCCGGGGGUUCGAAUCCCUCCUCCUCCGCCA